GACCGACGCGCUACCACUGCGCUAUUGAGACAUUACUAUUAAUUUCUUAAUAUUCCUAAUAUACAUGCU
rnacentral:tRNA from 1 species